rnacentral:misc_RNA from 1 species
ACAGUCACGAAUUUUCCAACAUACUGAUGUUGAAUAUCCAUAAUUGUCUCACGACCCCGAUGUUGCUUUUCAUGUUCUAGAGAAUCCGGAUUGAAGAGGAGUCCAUUGCUGUUUCUGUUUAUGAGCUGCGUGUUUUGUUGGAUUAUAAAAUUGACAAUCAACCAUUAACGGUAUAUUCAACUGCUUUAGGACGCUGAACUUGGUAGUGAGAAAUGGAGAAGCAGAAAGUGAUGGAGAGAGAAAACAACAAAUGGGGUGUUUCCAGUUCAUCAAACGGUGGAGAAGACAAUGAUUUGGUUAGGGAUAUGGAGGAGGUCAUUGAAACAGUUGGAUCCUAUACUGGGUACAGGAGAACCCAGAGAAAAGAAUGCUUAAACUUGGCGAGGAGAUUGAAGCUGUUGGUACCUCUUUUGGAGGAGAUAAAGGAGAGUGUAAAGUUGGUUUCUAGUGAGGAUUUGAAUUGCCUGGUUAAUUUGAAGGAGGCACUUCAUGGUGCCAUGAAGUUGCUCAAGAAAUGUAGCUGUGGAAGCAAGAUUUGUCUGGCAUUGGAGUUUGAUGCAGUAAUGGGUAGAUUUCACGCUGUAUAUGACAAAUUAAAUCAGGCUAUGGAUGCUAUACCUUAUGAUGAGUUUGGGAUCUCAGUUGAAGUGAAAGAACAGGUUGAGCUAAUGCAUAUGCAACUUAAAAGAGCCAAGAGGCGAACGGACACACAGGAUAUAGAACUAGCAAUGGACAUAAUGGUUGUAUUCUCCAGAAAGGAUGACCGAACUGUAGAUAGUGCAAUACUGGAAAGACUGGCAAACAAGCUAGAACUACUUACUAUUCCAGACUUGAAAGCAGAAACAGUAGCUGUUAGACAAUUAAGUAUAGAGAAGGAUGUCCAGAAUGCUGAAAGCAUCUGGCAAAUAGCAAAUCUGCUAGGAAAACUCAAACAGAUUGCUGGGGUCCAUGAAGCCAUUGAGUUUGAUGGUCCUAUCUCUUCAAAAAGUCUUCACAGGAGUCGAUCUUUGCUAAUUCCACAUGAAUUCCUUUGCCCAAUUACUCUGGAGAUCAUGGUGGAUCCUGUUACUGUGGCAACAGGACAGGUAAUAUCACAUUGAACUGCUAAUCUGCUAUAAUAUCCUCAGUCGUGUGCAUGCAUAACAACUGGUUUAUAAACUUUUGUGAUAUAGCAACUUGCUUUAGCUUGAAAAUCAUCUACUUUUGAUUUGAGAAACAUUGUGAACCGGACAACACAUAACAGUUCAUUUUCAACUUACUUUUACUUUUACAACAUUUUAAAAUCACACUUAAAAUGGGUGAUCGAGUGAAAUCAGCUGCUUAAAUUUUAUUUUUCUACACUUAGGCUUGCUUAUAGAACUUGAAUAGUGUACCUUUAGAGAUAUUGGUUUUAGAAUUACUUCUACUGGGAAGGUUUUAGCACUAAGCAUUCCUUGGAUUUGCAAAAAACUCCAGUGUUCAUUAUUCCAAUUAUUAUCCAGAUAUUGUCACGUCCAUCAAAUAACUAAAACUUGAGAAAAAUUUUUAAGCUCUCAUAGAAAAAUGGAACUUGCAUCUGAAAUGUUUUGCAAUCAGGUAAAGUUAAUCAAAUUUCAAAUUUAUAUACAAGGUGAAGCAACAUUUUUUAAAGUUUCAUUAAAGAUGCUUUAGAAGCUGAAACAAUAUUUACAUGUCUUUUAGACUUAUGAAAGAGAGAGCAUUCAGAGGUGGCUAAAUUCUAAUCAUAGGACCUGCCCAAAGACUGGACAAACUUUGGAUCACUUUUCUUUAGCACCCAAUUUUGCAAUCAGGAACCUUAUAUUACAAUGGUGUGAAGAAAAUAAUUUUGAACUGCCUAAAAAUGAUGCUUGCGUGGGAUGUGCUGGAUCUAAUGCUGAACUUAUAGAGCAAAUCACUUGCUUGGUUCAAAAUCUGUUUUGCACUGAGCUUGAUGUGAAGAGAGAGGCCAUUGCGAAGAUACGUAUGCUCUCUAAAGAGAAUCCAGAUAAUAGAAUUUUGAUUGGCAACAUUGGAGCAAUCCCUCCCUUGAUUCAUCUCUUGUCCUAUCAAGAUUCUGCAGUUCAAGAACAAACUGUAACAGCACUUUUGAACCUGUCUAUUGAUGAAGAAAACAAAAGAAUUAUAGCAAGAGAAGGAGCCAUUCCUGCUAUAAUAGAAAUCUUGCGAAAUGGAACAGAAGAAGCCAGAGAAAACUCUGCUGCAGCUUUGUUUAGCUUGUCAAUGCUUGAUGAGAACAAAGUACUGGUGGGGGCUUUGAAUGGAAUCCCUCCCUUGGUAAAUCUUUUGCAAAAUGGGACAAUCAGAGGUAGAAAGGAUGCUGCAACUGCACUCUUCAACUUAUCAUUGAACCAAACUAACAAGUUCAGGGCUAUUAAGGCUGGUAUCGUACCACCAUUGCUUCGUUUGCUCGAGGAUAAAAACCUAGGCAUGAUCGAUGAAGCUCUCUCGAUCUUGUUACUCCUUGCAUCACAUCCUGAAGGAAGGAAUGAAAUUGGAAGACUUGCUUUCAUAAGAACUCUUGUUGAAAUCAUAAGAAGUGGGACUCCCAAGAACAAGGAAUGUGCCACAUCGGUUCUUCUGGAGUUGGGGCUAAAUAAUUCAUCUUUUAUUUUGGCUGCACUACAAUAUGGUGUUUAUGAACAUCUGGUAGAUAUUGCAAGAUGUGGAACUAACAGAGCUCAAAGAAAAGCAAAUUCUCUUUUGCAGCACAUGAGUAAGUGUGAACAUAUUCCAUAAACUUAUACUAACUGUUGAUAGUAUUCUACAUACAAUGUAUCUAUUGAAAAACAGUAAAUAUGUACAUAUACUUCUAUAGUAAUUCUUAUUAUAAUUAUGAAGUUAAGGUAGAGUUUUCAAG